AACGAACGCUGGCGGCAGACUUAACACAUGCAAGUCGAGCGCCCCGCAAGGGGAGCGGCAGACGGGUGAGUAACGCGUGGGAACGUACCCUUUGCUACGGAAUAGCUCCGGGAAACUGGAAUUAAUACCGUAUGUGCCCUACGGGGGAAAGAUUUAUCGGCAAAGGAUAGGCCCACGUAGGAUUAGGGAGUUGGUGGGGUAAGGGCCUACCUAGGAGACGAUCCAUAGCUGGUCAGAGAGGAUGAUCAGCCACAUUGGGACUGAGAGACGGCCCAAACUCCUGCGGGAGGCAGCAGGGAGGAAUAUUGAACGAUGGGCGGAAGCCUGAUCCAGCCAUGCCGCGGUAGUGAUGAAGGCCUUAGGGUUGUAAAGCUCUUUCACCGGAGAAGAUAAUGACGGUAUCCGGAGAAGAAGCCCCGGCUAACUUCGUGCCAGCCGCCGCAGUAAAAC
rnacentral:rRNA from 1 species